rnacentral:rRNA from 1 species
CCUACGGGCGGCAGCAGUGGGGAAUAUUGCACAAUGGGGGAAACCCUGAUGCAGCGACGCCGCGUGAGUGAAGAAGUAAUUCGUUAUGUAAAGCUAUAUCAGCAGGGAAGAAAAUGACGGUAACUGGGUAAGAAGCCCCGGCUAACUACGGGCCAGCAGCCGCGGUAAUCAGGAGGGGGCAAGCGGUAUCCGGAUUUAAUGGGUGGAAAGGGAGCGUAGACGGCAGUGCAAGUCUGGAUGUAAAGGCGGGGGCUCAACCCCAGGACUGCUCUGGAAACUGUACGGCUGGAGUGCAGGAGAGGUAAGUGGAAUUCCUAGUGUAGCGGUGAAAUGCGUAGAUAUUAGGAGGAACACCAGUGGCGAAGGCGGCUUACUGGACUGUAACUGACGUUGAGGCUCGAAGGCGUGGGGAGCAAACAGGAUUAGAUACCCCUGUAGUC